GGGAUGUUUGGUGUGGACCGAGGCGCCUCCUCCUCCUCACUGUCCAGAUGUUCUCCUCCAUCUCCUGUGGGAGGUGGCCAGAGGGGUCCUCAGACAACCCAACAAGGAAGGAAGAGGAAGACAGAGCUCUUACCACAGGGAGGCCGAGAUGGCACAGCAAGAGGCACGCCCCCAGAAUGCCACCAAUGUCCCAGGACAGGCCCACCCAUGGGACCAGGUUAUCAGGGACCCUAUGGGGAUGGGGUGGAAUCUGAGGGGUGAGCCUUCUUCCCCAGGCUGGGAGUGGGCAAGAUGAGACUGGCACCUCUGCAUCUGAGUGCCCCCAAACCCAGCAGUCAUGUUGUAAGCAAA
rnacentral:lncRNA from 1 species